rnacentral:rRNA from 1 species
UGCAAGUCGAGGGGUAACAGGAAGUGCUUGCACUUUGCUGACGACCGGCGCACGGGUGCGUAACGCGUAUACAAUCUACCUUGUACUGGGGUAUAGCCCAGAGAAAUUUGGAUUAAUCCCCCAUAGUAUGUAUAAGUGGCAUCACUUUUACAUUAAAGGUUACGGUACAAGAUGGGUAUGCGUCCUAUUAGUUAGUUGGUAAGGUAACGGCUUACCAAGACUACGAUAGGUAGGGGCCCUGAGAGGGGGACCCCCCACACUGGUACUGAGACACGGACCAGACUCCUACGGGAGGCAGCAGUGAGGAAUAUUGGACAAUGGGCGAGAGCCUGAUCCAGCCAUGCCGCGUGCAGGAAGACUGCCCUAUGGGUUGUAAACUGCUUUUAUACAGGAAGAAACCUUUCCACGUGUGGGAAGCUGACGGUACUGUAAGAAUAAGGAUCGGCUAACUCCGUGCCAGCAGCCGCGGUAAUACGGAGGAUCCGAGCGUUAUCCGGAAUUAUUGGGUUUAAAGGGUCCGUAGGCGGGUCUUUAAGUCAGUGGUGAAAGUUUGCGGCUCAACCGUAAAAUUGCCAUUGAUACUGGAGAUCUUGAAUUAGUGUGAAGUGGUUAGAAUGUGUAGUGUAGCGGUGAAAUGCAUAGAUAUUAC